UUAAAUUUGUCAAUUUCCAAUUUCACUACUUAUUUCUUUUUGUAUGAACCCAAAAUUAUACAUAUAAAAAAAUCAGAUAAAUACUGUGUAUUGUGAGGUAUUUUAUUGUGGAUUUAUGCAGUGUUUCUCGCCAGAAAAUUUGUUGAUCUCGCGAUAUUAUGUUCAAUUUCUUCUCCUGCUUUCUGUGUCCCUUCCAUUUAUUGAGAGGCGUGGUUGUUUGGAGGCCAUGAUUUUCCUUUGCUUUUUGACUUCUUGGCAGCUAAUCUAUUUCUUUACCUUCUUCUUUUUUGAAACCAAACAGAUAGGGGAAAGACAUACGAGAGAGGCUGUUAUGGAGAAGAAAAGGAUCCAGUGAGAGGGUCUUGCUCUUGCACCAACGAUGAUGAGGUCGGUGGUGCUACGAUGGUGCUUUCAAUGUAGAUAGGAAUCUGUGAAAAAAAACAAAGGAAGUUCGUGGGGACUCAGAGCAGAGUUGGAAGGUAACUGCCGUAGUGGCCUUCUCUUGCAUCAAAGGCAACAUGGCAAGGUUUUGACAUGUGAUUUACGUUUUUUGUUGCUCAAGCAUCAAUUUUUUUUUCAUUUUUUCAGAUUUAUCUUCUUCUAUUUGGCUGCAAGCUACAUGGUGCUGGGUUAUUUGUGUGUUUCUUGGGGUUGAAAUUUGAAUUUAGUUGUUUUUCAUCUUAAAAAGGUUUAAAAUUUGGAGAAGGAAUAGCUGUUGUAGCUUGCUGACUUAGGUAUAAGUUGGUUAGGUUGGUUCUUUUGAAGGCAUUCCCAAGCUUCUCCAUGCCCCUUUUAUGUGCAGGUAAGGAAUUAUAUAGCGGUUCAUCGUGCAACUAAUUCACCUCCAUUUAUGGAUCAGACACAGACCAUGUUUGCUUCUGGUUUAGGUCCCUGCUUUGAGUUUUUCCAGUUGUUUUGCAUCCAUGGGUUUAGUGUCAGGGAACUAACUGAAUUAGACUUUAAGCCUUUUCCAUCAUCCAUGGGGUAGUCCUUUACUGAGCCAUCUAUGUGUAAUCGUGUUUCGAAAAAUAAAUUAGUGUUGUGCAGUAGCAGUGUGAAUGAUAGGAGGCAGAUGAUAGGGUUAGUUAAGUGUUUUAAUUAGUUUGGACUGUCUUCUUUACAUGUUGCCCACAAAGUGAUUGACGAGGAUUUUGAGAGAGAUGUGUUUUAUUUUAAGUUGUUCCUUGGAUUUUAUUCUUGCCGUAUGUUGAGCUUUUAAGUCCUUUUUUUUUUGUCGGGUUCUUGAUGCUCUUAGGAAAAGACAUGCUAAUUAAAUGAUGUUUGGGUCAGUGGUGGAUGUCUGUUGAGCUUUUAAAGUCCUUUUUUCGGGUUCUUGAUGCUCUCAGGGAAAGACAUGCUAAUUAAUGAUGUUUGGGUCAGUGGUGGAUGAAAGAGACUGUGAUAAGACGUCUUUGUGUUUGUGCAUUUCAUGUUUUUAUGGAUUUCAUACUUGGCUUAAAGAUGCUAUUAAUUUGGUCUUUGGUUAUGUUGUUUCGUUGAUAGAGAUCUAUAUUGUUUCGGUUUUUGCAUGCCAUGUUCAUGGUCCUUUUCUACGCAGUUGCUUUAUAAUGGAGCAGGUUCAGAAAAAUUCAGUCCUUCACAUGACAUCAGACAAGGCGACCCUUUUUCUUGGUAUAUUUUAUGUAUAAUGCAUGGAAGAAUUUACUCAUUUAAUUACAUAACAAGUGCAUAUUAGAAAAUGGAAUCCUGUAGGGUUGGAAAAGAUGGGGCUUGCAUUUCACAUUUGUUUUUCGUUGGUGAUUAAAUACUCUGUGGAGUCCUCUGAAAAAUCAUAUUGAUGUUAUUUUGGGAUGCUUAAAGAAGUUGUGUGCCUCAUUUGGUAAAAAAAAUUGGGUUUUCAAAACCAA